rnacentral:rRNA from 1 species
UACGUAGGGGGCGAGCGUUAUCCGGAUUCACUGGGUGUAAAGGGAGCGUAGACGGCCGUGCAAGCCAGGGGUGAAAGCCCGGGGCCCAACCCCGGGACUGCCCUUGGAACUGCAUGGCUGGAGUGCGGGAGGGGCAGGCGGAAUUCCUGGUGUAGCGGUGAAAUGCGUAGAUAUCAGGAGGAACACCGGCGGCGAAGGCGGCCUGCUGGACCGCGACUGACGUUGAGGCUCGAAAGCGUGGGGAGCGAACAGG